UAGGCUUUGUGGGCCUUUUGUCAGUAGGGGCACUGUUUUAUGUUCUAACAACUAAAUUGCAACUUGUAACACACAACCUACUACUGUAAAUCACGGCAAUUGGUCUGGUAGCUCCAAAACCGGUGCAUGAGAAAAGUAAGAAAACUCUGGUAUGAACUGUGGAUGAUUUGGUUUUCUAUUUUGAGUCAAGGUGCAGUUCCAGUUACAUAUUGGAACAAAUUCUGAGGAGUGUUUUAACAAGUCAUUUAUUUUGCUUUGUGUUCUUUCUUAUCCAGGGUUUGUCAAUGAGGCAAAUCAGAUUCCGGUUUGAUGGGCAGCCAAUUAAUGAAACAGACACACCGGCACAGUUGGAAAUGGAGGAUGAAGAUACAAUUGAUGUGUUCCAGCAGCAGACAGGAGGAGUUUACUAAAAAGAGAACCUGCUUCUUUCCUCUCCAGAACUGUGCUCCCACAGAUGACACAUUCACAAUUAGAAAACGAGACUUGGUUCAGCCACAUCCUGACUACUGCAGUAUAGUUUCUCUCUUUUUCUCUUUGAUUUUUUUCCCCCCCUAUUUCUUCUAUUGUACAUAAAGUAACUGGUGUAUGUGCACAGACAUAAUGCAUUUUUUUUUUUUUUAACUAAAUGCCCAAUAGUAUGUUUUGAUCAACAUGGAAUGGAGAUGGGGUGGGAAAAACAAACUGGGUCUGUGAAAAUGCCCCUUUUCUCCAUUAGUGGCAUGCUCCUUCAACUUUUAUCUUUAUAUUCCAGUAAGUUAUUUUGCUCUCACUGUUUAAAAACAAAACCUUGCAUACCUUGUUUGAUUGGAUAAUUUCAAUGUUUUUUCUUUUAUCAUUGUAAAACCAAGGACGAUUUUAUAACUUUUUUGUACGUAGCUGUUACACGUAGAGCAAUCUGUCUAAGUAGGGGUAAAUUACUCUUAAAAGGAAAAAAAAAAAGAUCCUAGAUAGUUUUCCCUUCAAGUAAAGCGUCUUGUUGUUUAAAUAAACUUCUUGUUUAAAAUAA